AAUAUGUGCUUAUUCUGAGGGGUUGUUUGAUUGCAUAUAAUUGUAACUGCACGGUAGCUGUAACUGCAUGCAAAUACAAAUUCGGUAUUUGGUUUGAUAUAUUUAACUCCAACUACUCCAAUGGAAACUGCAGGAGAAGGUCCAACUGCAACACUUGGAACUACGUCCAAAUUGGCCGCAAUUCCAACUGUAGCAGCUGGGGAGAGUAACUUUAAACAAAAGUUAACCUUAUUUUUCUUAAAUAUUUUUUAAACAAAAAAUAAUUUUUUUUACAUUUUAGAUAAUCUCAUCAUCAUAUAUAUAAAAUGAUAAAAUUUUAAAAAUUAUUUCUCAACUGCAUGCAACUAAACAAAUUAUUUGUAGUUGCAGCGAUUUCUACUACAUCCAACCAAACAUAAUAUAUAUAGUUAUAAUUGCUGCAUUUUCAAUUGUAUGUAUCUCCAACUACACUGCAUUUGUAAUUAAAACCAAAUCGGUGCCCAACGAUCAUCUGGCGUUAGUUUU
rnacentral:lncRNA from 1 species